CUCUUCAUGCUCAAUUGCUUUGUGUUUUAUAAAUUGGUGGGGUGAGUGAGUGAGUUAGAGAUAUAGCAUUUGUCAGAUUAUAUACCUGAAAAACACCAAAUAAUUUCAUUUCUUAGAAUAGCACCAAUGUGGUUCAGCUCAAUGUACCAAGUUGGUGCCUUGCCUGAAACCAUAUUGCCGUGAACCAAGCAACAACAUGGGCUAGGUUUCAAGUAACCUGCACUUUUGAAGCACUUCAAAGUUUCUGGAGUAUGUGGAGUUGCUGCACAAGAAUGUGACUUCAACAUAAUGCAUUCAGGAACCUAGAGCUUCAAAUCUGACUUGUUUGUGCAAUGUUGUACAAGACGGUUUGUAGAAUGAAUCAUGUAGGUUAUUUUGGCUCCUAUUAAUGAACUUAAUACAGCUUUUUAUGGAAUGGUUUUGUAGUUGCUGGCUGUUAAGCAAACACAUCAAAGAUAAUUGCCGGAACGGCUUAUUUUGUUUAGUUUUCUGAUUGCUGAAAACUCACAACAAUGUUUUAUAAUUCUCAUCAUCCAAGGUCUCCAAUGUAAAACACAUUCUAAAACUUCACUUCAUAAUUUCAGUUGCCAUUGCAAAAUCUUUUCUAAUGGCUUUAUGCAUGAAUCUUCUGUCAUCUUGUGUAUUAUAUCCAUUGAGGUGAUGGGAACGCAAUUGUUUCUGAAAGUGAACAGCAGCAAUCACGUGAUACAUGACACAUGGUUUUGACCUGGCCAAAGGCAUGACCCCCUAGGUCAUACUAAUUCUAUACAAUAAUUUUGAAUAUGGUAAGUCACAUCUCAAUUGCAAUAAUUGUAAAGUUAUAUAUUAAAAAAAGACAUUAAAAUUUGGAUUUAUGGUUUUUCAAAAGACAUUUUUAACAAUUUUUUAUGCAACUUUUUAAUUUUUUUUGUAAAAAACUGCCCCUUGAGGUGGGUCCUAGCACAUAUUCAUGGACAUAACACUAUUUAAAUCAUAUUAUAUAAACUAAUAAUAAUAAAUUGCACUCUGGCAAAUUUUCCUCUUAUGCCAUCUUUUCUAAAUAAAGUUAAAUUUUAUUUUUUUAUAAAAGUAAAAUAAAAUGAAUUUCUUCUCUUCAAACUUCAUAUUUUUUUAGAACAAAACAAAUAAGCACAAAUAGAAAAAAUGUAAAUUUCAAGCAAUGUAACAAGUUUGAUUGCCAACACAAAUUCAUAAAAACAUUACAAUUUUCAACCUUCAAAGCAAUCAAAAUUUGGUUCUUUAAAAGUGCAUAGCAUUUAACACAAAAAAACAAAAAAAAAAAACAAAACAAAACAAAACAAAACAAAACAAAAAAAAAAAAAAAAAAAAAAACCCAAAUUUAACACAAAAAAAAAAAUUAAACCCCAAAAAUCGCAAAUACAUAAAUGUUAAAAAAUAUAUAUAAAAAAAACUGGAAAUAAAACAUAGAUAAUGCAAAUGACUUGAGGAAUUGUUUUGUUGGUUACUAUCACCCUGCAAAAUAAACAUCAACACUCCAAAUCCUUACCUAGAGUAAUCCUGCCUACCACAUCAAAAAAACAAACAAACAAAAAACAAAAAAGAAGCACAGAUAUAAAUACAUAUGCUCCACAAAAGGAUGCAUAUGAGGAUGCACAAAUAUUUAUUUGACAUAUUUUUUUAUUUGACACCCCCCAAAAUAUUAAAAAAAUAAAAGCAAAAUGGGUGUCCAGAAUAACAAUCAAAGCAAGUCUUACAACACUAAUUUUUGGUGUACAGCUUUUGCUUCUCUGUGCUCGUGUGGAUUGCUUCUCACUUCUGCACACUCUCCCAUGCCUGCUUCCAAAAUUGUUCCCUGCAACAACAACUACUAAAAAACAAAAACAAAAAAAAUUAAGAAAUUAAAAAAAUUGUUCCAUGCUCUUUGUUUUUGCUCACAUUUUCUUGCCCUGCUUUGGUCCAUGAUUGACCCUUCUUUAUGCAAACUCUGAACAAAGCAGAUUCUGAGAGAUUGUUGUCACACCACAUCCAAAUCCUUUUGAAAACAGACACAGAGUUGGCAAUUUUAUAGGGUUAAAUAAUUUAUCCUCCACGUCCUUAAAGCUGAACUUCUACCCA
rnacentral:lncRNA from 1 species